UGGAAGGGAUCCCGAGGGUCAUCUUGUCCGAUCGCUUGCAAUGUGAAAAACACUGAGAAACAAUUACAGCUAAAACAUUAUUUCAGCCAGUGUUGUGAGAUUGAGAGGUUUGAACAGGGGAGGGUUAGCAGAGUUAGAAUGACUGCAAAACACUCCUAGUAAUUAGUUGGCGAAGGGGAGGGUGACGCUGAGGUUGAUGAAGCCAGUAGAAUACAGCUUCAUCUGAUCAGCCACUCGUUGAGAAAGCAAAUGGAAGACUGUGCUUGCUUGAGCUCUGCAAGGAACUGAAGCAGCCCAUUGGGGUGGGAUGGAACCACUACACUUGCUUACUGGUUGGUCAGGUGGAGUCAGGUGACAGGGAGGGUAGCAUGAUGCAAACACACCCGUGGAGCUAACCUGGCGCUCCUGCCAGUGCAACUGCAUGUUUCUGUCAAGGUGAGUGUCAGGAGCAGGUCAGCAAUAAUUCACACGGUGUCAAUGAAGUUAACUCUCUUUUUUCAAAGAAAUAGGAACAGCUCAGGAGGCCAGGCCUUGUGAGCACGGCAACAUUUCCCAGUAGGUCUUGCCCCAGUGAGGCAGCUGCAAGGACUGAAGGUCCCUGCCUUCUCACAGCUACCUAAGUCUCCUCCUUCCCCAGUGCCUUCCCAAGCAAUCAGAGACUCUGAUGCCGUCUGUCUUUGCCUCGCCCUCUUCAUACCUCUACUGGUCCUGGGAGACCAGCAGGGAUGGGAGCUGGGCGCAGUAGGAGUGGGAGACCCCCUGGCUUCUUCAGCAGCCUGCCUCAUCUCUGCCUCUUCCCCCCCCCCUCCAGCCUCCACUUCUGCCUCUGAUUCUGGACUGCUCUCUGCCGCAGCCUCUUUCUGCUCACUAACCAUCUUCAGCUUCCAACACCACCUCCUCCCAGUCUGCUCCCUCUUCUCCCUCUGACCACUCAUCGUCGUCCUACCACCAAUCCCCUGGGGGAUCGCCUUGGCCCUCUCCCUCUUCGUGAGCAACAGAAACCCACUCAACAAGUUACUUCUAACAAGGAGAACAGAGGUUUUUCCAACAUCUGUUAUUCCUGUUGGGUUAUUUAUUUAUUUAUUUAUUAUUAUUGUUAAAUUGGUUUAAGCUGUUCUUAAUAUUGUGUUUUCAUAUUAAUGAUUUUUUAAAAAAAUGUAACCUGCCCUCGGACCUUUGGAUAAAGGGUGAGUAAUUAAGAAUAAUAAUUUAUAUUCUGUGACUUAAUACCAUAAUAAGGAACAACUUGGAAUUUUAUACAUUUUAGUGCAGUUUCUCCCUUUCUGUUGCAAAGAAAGAUUUAUGCACUUUUACUAGGUUAAAAAUUGACCUGCAAAGGUCAGUCUUCUUCCCCCAUGUUUAAUUUCUUCUGCUUUUUUUCUAGGAUGGAGAGCACAUUUCUAAAAAAAGCAUGUGAAUCUUGUCGCCAAACUAGAUUUCUUACCUCUUGCAUGCAAAUUAUUCUCUUCUGGUAAUACAGAAAUGGAUUUAAUUGGUAUGCUAUGUCUAAAGAAGACAAGCGCUCACAACUCUGACCCUUUGCUACGUCAGCCCAUGAAUAAGCCAGGGUUCUCUAGGGCCCUCUAUCAAUGUGGAUCCAUCACUCAAAAGGUUGUGUCAAGGAUGCUCAGGGGUCAGAGUCAUUGCAUGGAUAUUGCACAUGGCACAGAGAUAGCAUGAGGAGCUGCUAGGAGGAUACAGGAGAAGUGUAUGAGAUGGGCAAAGAGAGAGAAAGAAAUCUGCUUUGAGAUAAUAGUAAGAACUGUAAUCACCCCAAUCCUUAUAAUGAAAAGUCUUACUGAUUUUUAGGAGGGCUGAGCAACUGCCACCGUGUUGUCUAUUUGAAAAGAAGCUUUGACAACAGUUGUGCUAACUCUCUCUCCAGAAACAUUUGUCCUUUUUAACCUUCACUUGAAAGAAAUGUUUUGUCCUGUGAGAUAAGUAGCUCCAUUUCAUCCAAGCCUAAAAAUACCACGUUGUUUACUUAACAUCGGUUUAUUCUGCAAAAAGUAAAACAUAAAUCAAUACCUGAAAUUGUUAUCUGCAAUUUAUUUGUACAUUAUGUUCUCUAGACUUGAGAGGUACUGCUGAGUAAGUAUAUGAGGAGGCUGACCGUUUCCCUGGAGAUCUAAUGCAGGAGGAGUGGACUUCGGCUGUCUGUUAAAGUGCUAAGUUGUGUCUAAACCUAGGCCAACCUCUACAUUUUUAAAGAAAUGCAAAUACUUUAAAAUGACAAGCCCCCAGCAAAAGGACGUGUCAUUUUAGGAGCUGAAACUUAAUUUUUGCACAUUUCUUCGGUGAGGGGUCUUUAAAAUAUGUUUUGGGGUGUGAGGAAUUCAAAUCUGCUGUUAUUUUUUUGUGUGACUGGACAACAUUUAGCUUGGUAAGUCUACGUGUGAUGAAGAAGCACAUAAAUUGCUUUCAGAAAACCAAAAAAAUUUAAUUUUACCUUCUGAAAAUGUCAG